rnacentral:rRNA from 1 species
GACGAACGCUGGCGGCGUGCCUAAUACAUGCAAGUCGAACGCAGUGGGGACGGGUGAGUAACACGUGGGUAACCUCCCAUCAGAGGGGAUAAAAGUUGGAAACAGGUGCUAAAACCGAUGCUGGUGGAUGGACUCGCGGUGCAUUAGCUAGGUGGAGAGGUAGCGGCUCACCAAGGCCACGAUGAAUAGCGGGUCUGAGAGGGUGAUCGGCCAAACUGGGACUGAGACACGGCCCAGACUCCUACGGGAGGCAGCAGUAGGGAAUAUUGGGCAAUGGACGAAAGUCUGACCCAGCAACGCCGCGGGAAUGAAGAAGGUUUUAGGAUCGUAAAACUCUGUUGUUAGGGAAGCGGUAUCCAACCAGAAAGCCACGGCUAACUACGUGCCAGCCGCCGCGGUAAUUC